rnacentral:rRNA from 1 species
GAUGAACGCUGGCGGCGUGCCUAAUACAUGCAAGUCGAGCGAACAGACGAGGAGCUUGCUCCUCUGACGUUAGCGGCGGACGGGUGAGUAACACGUGGAUAACCUACCUAUAAGACUGGGAUAACUUCGGGAAACCGGAGCUAAUACCGGAUAAUAUAUUUAACCGCAUGGUUCAAUAGUGAAAGACGGUUUUGCUGUCACUUAUAGAUGGAUCCGCGCCGCAUUAGCUAGUUGGUAAGGUAACGGCUUACCAAGGCAACGAUGCGUAGCCGACCUGAGAGGGUGAUCGGCCACACGGGAACUGAGACACGGUCAAGACUCCUACGGGAGGCAGCAGUAGGGAAUCUUCCGCAAUGGGCGAAAGCCUGACGGAGCAACGCCGCGUGAGUGAUGAAGGUCUUCGGAUCGUAAAACUCUGUUAUUAGGGAAGAACAAAUGUGUAAGUAACUAUGCACGUCUUGACGGUACCUAAUCAGAAAGCCACGGCUAACUACGUG